CCUACGGGAGGCUGCAGUGGGGGAUAUUGCACAAUGGGGGAAACCCUGAUGCAGCGACGCCGCGUGGGCGAAGAAGUAUUUCGGUAUGUAAAGCCCUAUCAGCAGGGAAGAAGAAAUCACUGUACCUGUGUAAGAAGCACCGUCUAAAUACGUGCCAGCAGCCGCGGUAAUACGUAUGGUGCAAGCGUUAUCCGGAUUUACUGGGUGUAAAGGGAGCGCAGGCGGCAAGGCAAGCCUGAUGUGAAAGCCCGCGGCGCAACCGGGGGACUGCAUUGGAAACUGCGGAGCUGGAGUGCAGGAGAGGUAGGCGGAAUUCCUAGUGUAGCGGUGAAAUGCGUAGAGAUUAGGAGGAACACCAGUGGCGAAGGCGGCCUACUGGACGGUGACUGACGCUGAGGCUCGAAAGUGUGGGGAGCAAACAGGAUUAGAUACCCCAGUAGUC
rnacentral:rRNA from 1 species